GAUGAACGCUGGCGGCGUGCCUAAUACAUGCAAGUCGAGCGAACAGAUGAGGAGCUUGCUCCUCUGACGUUAGCGGCGGACGGGUGAGUAACACGUGGAUAACCUACCUAUAAGACUGGGAUAACUUCGGGAAACCGGAGCUAAUACCGGAUAAUAUAUUGAACCGCAUGGUUCAAUAGUGAAAGACGGUUUUGCUGUCACUUAUAGAUGGAUCCGCGCCGCAUUAGCUAGUUGGUAAGGUAACGGCUUACCAAGGCAACGAUGCGUAGCCGACCUGAGAGGGUGAUCGGCCACACUGGAACUGAGACACGGUCCAGACUCCUACGGGAGGCAGCAGUAGGGAAUCUUCCGCAAUGGGCGAAAGCCUGACGGAGCAACGCCGCGUGAGUGAUGAAGGUCUUCGGAUCGUAAAACUCUGUCAUUAGGGGAGAACAAAUGUGUAAGUAACUAUGCACGUCUUGACGGUACCUAAUCAGAAAGCCACGGCUAACUACGUG
rnacentral:rRNA from 1 species